rnacentral:tRNA from 1 species
GCUGGGGCUCAGUGGCAGAGUGCUUGCCUAGCACGUGUGAGGCCCUGGGUUCAACUCUCAGCCCUACA